AAAAAACACAAUGUUCAAAAUCUCUUCUGUUUCUAAUCCCAUCACCCUGUCCAAAUACCAUCAUCUUUAUGCUGGAAUGCUAAUAUAUUUCUGUUGGUUUUCUCUGAGCCCAUUCCUCCAUUCCAGUCCAUUUUCUACCCUGCACCUGCACUUGGAGCAUUUUUUUUUCAUGCCCCACCUCCAUUUUAAAGUGGUUCAAGUUUUUCUUUCUUAAAUAGAUGGAGUUAGUGCUGUGCUCUACUAACUGAUGGUGUGUUUCAUCUCUUGCUCUGCCACAUCAGAUAUGAGGUGGCUACUCCAAAAAUAAUCACACAAGGCAGGAUUUCAUCUAUCCCUAAUAUUCUCAGAAGGUUCAUCAGUGGCAUGAUGACAGAAAAAGUGCUACAAAAGCCAUGUGAAGAAGUACAUGUUUGCUUCCCCUUCUGUCAUGAUUGUAAGUUUCCUGAGGCCUCCAGAGCCAUGCUGAACUAAACCUUGUGAUUACAUUGAGCCUACCUGAAUGAUCCAGGAUAAUCGUCCCAUAUCAAGGAGAGCAAAGUGAAUAGUGUGAUUUGCUUAGAGGACAAUGCUGCUACAAAAACCUGUUCCACUCCAAGGCCAACUGCAGUUUUGAGCCAUAUCCAAAGAGGGAAAAGCAGAGACUGAUUUAAACUGGCCUGUGUACUAUCCCAAACUCACCAAUCAAAUAAGUCAUUUCCUCCCCCAGGAGAGGGGAACCAAGGAUGUCCUUCCGCAUGAAAAUGUCAGAACGAGAAAGAGAAGAAAAGGAAAUUGUUGAAGAAUCUAGGAGUGUUUGAAAGAGGAAGAGACUGCAUUGUGCUCCCCAGAUCAAUGGUUGAUAAGCUGAAGUUGUCCUCACACCAUUAAGAGACACAGUGGUAAAUCACAUGAUAGGUGUCACAGGAAGUUAAACUGUAUAAACAGAGAGACCAGUGCCUACUUUUUUUUUUUUUUUUGAGACGGAGUCUCGCUCUGUCGCCCAGGCUAGAGUGCAGUGGCGCGAUCUCUGCUCACUGCAAGCUCCGCCUGCCGGGUUCACGCCACUCUCCUGCCUCAGCCUCCGGAGUAGCUGGGACUACAGGCACCGGCCACCACGCCCGGCUAAUUUUUUGUAUUUUUAGUAGCGACGGGGUUUCACCGUGGUCUCCAUCUCCUGACCUCGUGAUCCGCCCGCCUCGGCCUCCCAAAGUGCUGGUAUUACAGGUGUCAGCCACCGCGCCUGACCAACAGUAAAAAAGGAUGAGGUGAACUGCCUUGGUCAGACUCUGAGAAAUACUCACAGUUCCUCCUUCCUCCUGGCCAAGUCCUUGAAGAAUCAAAGCAGCAAAUAAACAAGGUGGAACAAGAGUGAAAAUGAGAAUGCAUUUAUCUUCUCCACUGAACGACCCCAAGUCCUGUGUCAGGGCUGAGAUGUUUGAGUUGCUCCCAGUUUUAUGCUACCAUGAAUGAGUUAACACUGAUUGUAGCUGAGACAUCUGCUGCUGUGUUGCUCCUUCAAAGGUGAUGUGUCUUUUCUCUCUAAUUUUAAGAUCUUUUCUUGGUCUUUGUGUUCUGCAAUUUUAUUACAAUGUGACUAGGUAUGUGAUAAUUUUAAAAUAAGUCUACAAAUUCUUAGACAGCCCUUUCUUCAUGAAAUGGAACCUAAUUCUUCUCCCUCUGAGUGUGGGCUGAACCUAGUGACUUCAUUCUAACAACAGAAUUUGGCAAAAUAUUACUUCCAAAACCAGGCCAAUGUUCUUUUCUGCUUUCUCACUUGGAUUGCCACUCUGGGAAAGACAGCUGUCAGGUCAUGAGCACACUCAAGCGAGCCCUGUGGAGGGGUCCAUGUGGCAAGGCACAGAGGCCUCCAAUAAACAGACAUAUGUGUGAGCCAUCUCGGAAGCAGAUACUCCAGCCCCAGUCCAGCCUUCAGAUGACUACAAUCUCACAAGUGACCCCAAGCUAGACCUACUAAGCUAAGCAACUAGUGAUUCCUGUCCC
rnacentral:lncRNA from 10 species